rnacentral:rRNA from 1 species
UACGGGGGGGGCAAGCGUUGUUCGGAAUCACUGGGCGUAAAGGGAGCGUAGGCGGGUUUUUAAGUCAGGUGUUUAAUCCCGGGGCCCAACCCCGGACCGGCACUUGAAACUGGGAAUCUUGAAUAGGGGAGAGGUCAGUGGAAUUGGAGGUGUAGCGGUGGAAUGCGUAGAGAUCUCCAAGAACACCAGUUGCGAAGGCGGCUGACUGGACCCAUAUUGACGCUGAGGCUCGAAAGCAUGGGGAGCAAACAGG